AUUGAACGCUGGCGGCAUGCCUUACACAUGCAAGUCGAACGGCAGCACGGGAGCUUGCUCCUGGUGGCGAGUGGCGAACGGGUGAGUAAUACAUCGGAACGUACCCUGAAGUGGGGGAUAACGUAGCGAAAGUUACGCUAAUACCGCAUAUUCUGUGAGCAGGAAAGAGGGGGAGUCGCAAGACCUCUUGCUUUAGGAGCGGCCGAUGUCGGAUUAGCUAGUUGGUGAGGUAAAGGCUCACCAAGGCGACGAUCCGUAGCGGGUCUGAGAGGAUGAUCCGCCACACUGGGACUGAGACACGGCCCAGACUCCUACGGGAGGCAGCAGUGGGGAAUUUUGGACAAUGGGCGCAAGCCUGAUCCAGCCAUGCCGCGUGAGUGAAGAA
rnacentral:rRNA from 1 species